CCUCUCAUUAUCGCAGACGGGGCACCCAGCCGCUCGCGUGGGGUCUGCCCCGCGACCCGACGCCUCCGGCAGGCCCACCUCUGACGCCGGGGUCAGAUUUCAGCAUGAGAGGCGGAGGGGACCGGGCCGGCACGUACAUGGAUCUUCUUCACCUCCCUGGCGAGAACCACAGUCCUGAGACUGCAGCGUCACCUUGGAAAGCAGCUGCUACUGACCAUUGAGACGCCCUCCUGAGCACCUGAAUAUGUCCUAGUGGCUUUGACAUGCAAGUAUACUUCCAAGGACACAUGAAAAACAUCAAGAAAUUUUGAAAUGGUAUCUAAAUAAAAUAAUGUUUGGCCAGUAUAA